rnacentral:rRNA from 1 species
CAGCCGCCGCGGGAAAACGGAGGAUCCAAGCGUUAUCCGGAUUUAUUGGGUUUAAAGGGUGCGUAGGCGGCUUAUUAAGUCAGGGGUGAAAGGCGGUAGCUUAACUAUCGGAGUGCCCUUGAUACUGAUGAGCUUGAAUGCAGCUGAGGUAGGCGGAAUGUGACAAGUAGCGGUGAAAUGCAUAGAUAUGUCACAGAACACCGAUUGCGAAGGCAGCUUACUAAAGUGCGAUUGACGCUGAGGCACGAAAGCGUAGGGAUCAAACAGGAUUAGAUACCCGUGUAGUCCCUGUCUCUUAUAA